UAAGGCUGUGAUAGGAAGCAGAGACAGAGCCAUGGGAGGUUUGGAGCUUUGUAUCGCUCCUCUGUGAAAUUUCCCCCGAGAAAUUGGCCAUCAGCACAAGAGACGCUCCGCAAGAAAGAGGAAACCGUGAAAGAGAGACCAGGACUGAGCAACAUCUCAGGAGACCGAGACAAAGAAAGAGAAAAGAUGCAACAGGAGGCCCUGCAGGUGCAGUCUUUCUAUCGUCGACAUUAAAGACGGCUAAUUCGAAAAAGAUUUGACUCCCACUUUUAAGCCUGACAGCUCAAUAUCCUGUCUGAGGGUGCAGAGAGCCAACGAGGACAUGACAUAAAUCCACCAUGGAUCAAGCCUCAUGAGAAGAUCUCACAAUUCUCCAAACUGAGCCUGUCGUGACUCCUGUCUGCUGCAGAUGAGAUUCCUUCUUCGCUACCUUUUUGUGGUGAAGGAGUUUGUGUGCCUGAAAGAUUCUAGGAACUCUGCUGUUGGGUGCUAAUGCCAGAGUCUCCCAAAGCAGAUUGGCCUGUAAAAGUAAGUAAGAAGUAAGUGGAAAAGU